GAACGGGCCAACGAGUUACGUUAAGUAGCAAGGUUAAGCACUUAAGGUGUGGAGCCGUAGCGAAAGCGAGUUUUAACUGAGCGUUCAGUUACUUGACGUAGACCCGAAACCGGGCGACCUACCCAUGAGCAGGAUGAAGCGAAAGUAAAAGUUCGUGGAGGUCCGAACCCACGAGCGUUGAAAAGCUCGGGGAUGACUUGUGGGUAGCGGUGAAAUUCCAAUCGAGCCCGGAGAUAGCUGGUUCUCCCCGAAAUAGCUUUAGGGCUAGCCUCAAGGUGAGAGAUACGGAGGUAGAGCACUGAAUGUCCUAGGGG
rnacentral:rRNA from 1 species